UACGUAGGGUGCGAGCGUUAAUCGGAAUUACUGGGCGUAAAGCGUGCGCAGGCGGUUUUGUAAGUCAGAUGUGAAAUCCCCGGGCUCAACCUGGGAACUGCGUUUGAAACUACAAGGCUAGAGUGUAGCAGAGGGGGUAGAAUUCCACGUGUAGCAGUGAAAUGCGUAGAGAUGAUGGAGGAACACCGAUGGCGAAGGCAGCCCCUGGGCCAAAACUGACGCUCAGGCACGAAAGCGUGGGGAGCAAACAG
rnacentral:rRNA from 1 species